AGAGAUAGUGUGUUGAGAAACCUGCAAAGCACAACACCAUUAAACUCAUUUCUUUGGAUUGCAAAAGGGGGCUUGGCCCCAAAACUAAAAGAUACAAAAUCAUGAAUAAGUAACACUGCUCAUAUCAUGGAGAAGCCACAUGAGAAGACCAUUGGGAGGGGCCUUGAAAAAUUAUAAAAUUUCACAAAGCAUACAAACCCUAAUUUAU
rnacentral:misc_RNA from 1 species